UACGUAGGGGGCUAGCGUUGUCCGGAAUCAUUGGGCGUAAAGCGCGUGUAGGCGGUUCGGUAAGUCUGCUGUGAAAGUCGGGGGCUCAACCCUCGAAUGCCGGUGGAUACUGUCGGGCUAGAGUGCGGAAGAGGCGAGUGGAAUUCCUGGUGUAGCGGUGAAAUGCGCAGAUAUCAGGAGGAACACCAAUUGCGAAGGCAGCUCGCUGGGACGUAACUGACGCUGAGGCGCGACAGCGUGGGGAGCAAACAGG
rnacentral:rRNA from 1 species